UACGUAGGGGGCAAGCGUUGUCCGGAAUUAUUGGGCGUAAAGCGCGUGUAGGCGGCCAGAUAAGUCCGCUGUGAAAUCUCGAGGCUCAACUUCGAGCUGUCGGUGGAAACUGUCUGGCUAGAGUCCGGAAGAGGAGAAUGGAAUUCCUGGUGUAGCGGUGAAAUGCGCAGAUAUCAGGAGGAACACCGGUGGCGAAGGCGGGUCUCUGGACAGUUCCUGACACUGAGACACGAAGGCCAGGGGAGCGAAACGGG
rnacentral:rRNA from 1 species